rnacentral:rRNA from 1 species
AUUGAACGCUGGCGGCAGGCCUAACACAUGCAAGUCGAACGGCAGCACAGAAGAGCUUGCUCUUUGGGUGGCGAGUGGCGGACGGGUGAGUAAUGUCUGGGAAACUGCCCGAUGGAGGGGGAUAACUACUGGAAACGGUAGCUAAUACCGCAUAACGUCGCAAGACCAAAGUGGGGGACCUUCGGGCCUCACACCAUCGGAUGUGCCCAGAUGGGAUUAGCUAGUAGGUGGGGUAAUGGCUCACCUAGGCGACGAUCCCUAGCUGGUCUGAUAGGAUGACCAGCCACACUGGAACUGAGACACGGUCCAGACUGCUACGGGAGGCAGCAGUGGGGAAUAUUGCACAAUGGGCGCAAGCCUGAUGCAGCCAUGCCGCGUGUAUGAAGAAGGCCUUCGGGUUGUAAAGUACUUUCAGCGGGGAGGAAGGCGGUGAGGUUAAUAACCUUGCCGAUUGACGUUACCCGCAGAAGAAGCACCGGCUAACUCCGUGCCAGCCGCCGCCGUAA